UACGAUGGGGGCUAGCGUUGCUCGGAAUCACUGGGCGUAAAGGGUGCGUAGGCGGGUUUUUAAGUCAGGGGUGAAAUCCUGGAGCUCAACUCCAGAACUGCCUUUGAUACUGAAGAUCUUGAGUCCGGGAGAGGUGAGUGGAACUGCGAGUGUAGAGGUGAAAUUCGUAGAUAUUCGCAAGAACACCAGUGGCGAAGGCGGCUCACUGGCCCGGUACUGACGCUGAGGCACGAAAGCGUGGGGAGCAAACAGG
rnacentral:rRNA from 1 species